CUUCAGCUUAAUGAAGUGGUCUGGGUGCCAGGUCCUUCUAGGGUUAACCCAUUUUUUCAUAAUUAUAGCAGUUUCAGAGAAGCUGCUAUAAUUAUGAAUGGGUUAAGCCUUCCCCCUAAUCCUCUAGUGGCUGUCUCAUUGACAGCCACUAGAGGCGCUUGCGUGCUUCUCACUGUGAAAAUCACAGUGAGAGCACGCCAGCG